rnacentral:rRNA from 1 species
CCUACGGGGGGCAGCAGUGGGGAAUAUUGCGCAAUGGGCGAAAGCCUGACGCAGCGACGCCGCGUGAGGGAUGAAGGUCUUCGGAUCGUAAACCUCUGUCAGCAGGGAAGAACGGUCACUGUGCUAAUCAGCAGUGAAUUGACGGUACCUGCAAAGGAAGCACCGGCUAACUCCGUGCCAGCAGCCGCGGUAAUACGGAGGUUGCGAGCGUUAAUCGGAAUUACUGGGCGUAAAGCGCUCGUAGGCGGUAUGUCAAGUCAAGGGGGAAAUCCCCGCGCUCAACGUGGGAACUGCCUUUGAAACUGGCAAACUGGAGUGUGUGAGAGGAUAGUGGAAUUCCAGGUGUAGGAGUGAAAUCCGUAGAUAUCUGGAGGAACAUCAGUGGCGAAGGCGACUAUCUGGCACAUAACUGACGCUGAGGAGCGAAAGCGUGGGUAGCAAACAGGAUUAGAUACCCGGGUAGUC